rnacentral:rRNA from 1 species
AUUGAACGCUGGCGGCAUGCCUUACACAUGCAAGUCGAACGGUAACAGGUCUUCGGAUGCUGACGAGUGGCGAACGGGUGAGUAAUACAUCGGAACGUGCCUAGUAGUGGGGGAUAACUACUCGAAAGAGUGGCUAAUACCGCAUGAGAUCUACGGAUGAAAGCAGGGGAUCGUAAGACCUUGUGCUACUAGAGCGGCCGAUGGCAGAUUAGGUAGUUGGUGGGAUAAAAGCUUACCAAGCCGACGAUCUGUAGCUGGUCUGAGAGGACGAUCAGCCACACUGGGACUGAGACACGGCCCAGACUCCUACGGGAGGCAGCAGUGGGGAAUUUUGGACAAUGGGCGCAAGCCUGAUCCAGCAGUGCCGCGUGCAGGAUGAAGGCCUUCGGGUUGUAAACUGCUUUUGUACGGAACGAAAAGCCCUGGGUUAAUACCCUGGGGUCAUGACGGUACCGUAAGAAUAAGCACCGGCUAACUACGUGCCAGCCGCCGCUGUAAGAC